GCUGGAGCUUGCUCUGGUGGAUUAGUGGCGAACGGGUGAGUAACACGUGAGCAACCUGCCCCUGACUCUGGGAUAACAGCCGGAAACGGCUGCUAAUACCGGAUAUGCACCAUGAACGCAUGUUCUGUGGUGGGAAAGAUUUUUCGGUUGGGGAUGGGCUCGCGGCCUAUCAGCUUGUUGGUGAGGUAAUGGCUCACCAAGGCGUCGACGGGUAGCCGGCCUGAGAGGGUGACCGGCCACACUGGGACUGAGACACGGCCCAGACUCCUACGGGAGGCAGCAGUGGGGAAUAUUGCACAAUGGGCGAAAGCCUGAUGCAGCAACGCCGCGUGAGGGAUGACGGCCUUCGGGUUGUAAACCUCUUUUAGCAGGGAAGAAGCGAGAGUGACGGUACCUGCAGAAAAAGCGCCGGCUAACUACGUGCCAGCAGCCGCGGUAAUACGUAGGGCGCAAGCGUUAUCCGGAAUUAUUGGGCGUAAAGAGCUCGUAGGCGGUUUGUCGCGUCUGCUGUGAAAACUGGAGGCUCAACCUCCAGCCUGCAGUGGGUACGGGCAGACUAGAGUGCGGUAGGGGAGAUUG
rnacentral:rRNA from 1 species